rnacentral:misc_RNA from 1 species
GCUUUUCAUUUCUCUCAAUUUGCAAUCUCUGAGUCGAUUGGAAGCAUAACUUGUACGGAAAUUGUAAUCUAAGAGAACUAACUCUAGGAAAAACGAGAAGGAAAUCGGAUUGAAGAUGUAGAGAAGUUGCAGACUGAGAAAGCUUACAAGGAGGUGAAGAAAGGAAAAGAGGACAGAAAUUAGCGGCGGCAGCGAACGGAGAGAGGAAGUGUCGGCGCCGGCGGUCAAAGUCAAGUAAUGGCGUCAAUGGAAUCGAUGACGAUGAGGAAGACGAAAAUUGUUGGGUAAAGAAGAUUGUAGAAGAAGUGAGAUAGUUCAAAUUGAGCUUACGAUUUCGAGAAAUUAGGGUUCCGAUUGAUCUGAAAAUCGCCAUUGAUGUAGCAGCAUUUUCAUGCACAUCGAGAUGGACUAAGAUUUUUUUGCAAGGG